GUCAUAUUCGCAUAUGUCUCGCCUAAUCCCUAAUUUCGUCUGAAGCGCAGUUCGUCCGAUUCCAUGAGACGAAUCAUCAUCGAUCUCAUCUCGCUGCUGCUGAAUCCGUAUGAGACGAUCCGUUCGAUCUGUUCUCUGGAGCCAGCGUACCAACCGUAUUUGAAGUUCGAAUCUCCGCCGUUCUUCCUCGCCAUGGCCUCCGUGAAGAUGCGAAAGGCUAGAGACUUGGCUCUCGUGGUGAUAGCGUUCGGAGAUUUCUUACGUAUAGUGACGAUCGUGGUGGCGUUAGCGAUAGUGGCGCUUAAGCCGGAGAGGAAACACGUGGUAGUGACGUCGUGCUCUUAGUUCCCUUCGCGGAGAAGAAUCGUUGAGUCGGUCGAGGAGGAGGAGGCAUCCUAACUAAUUGAGUUCUCUGUGGUUUAUUAUUUUUUAUGUGUGGAAAGGAUCUCACUUUGAGUAAUAGCUCCAGCAAAAGUUGCUAUUAGUCUCGAUUCUGGAGAGUUUCUCGCCGUCAAACAGAAGCUGGAAAAGAAAGUUAAGCUUCUCAAGAAUCACUCACAUCCAAAUAUAGUUGUAAGCAAUAAAAGCUGCUUUUGUAUUUCUUUCAAUAUUUGAUAGACCCACCACGUUUUUGUUUCUUUUAUUCUUUUGUGGGCACUAAAGGUAUUUACGCACAGUGAGAGAAUGAAACUUUGAACAUCUUCUUCCAUAUCAUACUAUAUUCCAGAGCGCCGAAAACCAUGGCGAAUCCUCAAGUUCUUUUGUAUGAGUUGAACGUUGAUUGGUGCAAGAAAAAUCGCAGUGGCCAAACGUCGGUGUCAGUGUUUUGGAUAGAUUCGCCAACCUCCUUUAUAUAUGGUUCCUUUAGUUGAUUGCAAGCUACUUGUAUGAUUAAUGAUUGUUAGUUAACUUUUUAGACACAGAAACCUCCUCUAUAAUGUAUGUGUUUUUAACAACUUAGCCACUACCAACCACCACUUCCAGACUUUGGAGGUCAUGUAAGUACUAUUAAUUAUUUUGCAGGGAAGGGAUAACCAGCCUGGUGAUGACAUGCUUGGAGCUGGAGCGGUUAAAACCAAUCCUACUGAUAGGUUUAACAGUGCAUCGCCUGAGAAAAUACCUGAUGGUGAUAACGCUGGAAUGCUUUAAGAAAGUGCUGUCGACCCUGCUCUUCCAACUGUUCUUUCUCGAUAAAUCAACAGAUAAGAAAUUAAGGAUGAACCACUAAUGGAGGAGAAGGUUGAAGGGAAGAAGCCACACGUGACUUAACUUCACAGGCUUAGGAGAGCCAAAGGUCAGAAUGGACAACCUCUACUCUUUCGCAUUUCUGUUUUUAAAUGUUUCCACUUUGACUUUGUCUACUGUUUCCUGAAAUUAAACCAGCUGCUGGUUGUGUUUUAACUUUUAGUUGUAGUUGUUACAAGGGAAAGGUAUUCGUUAUAUGUUUAUAAAUAAAAGUUCCUUUAAAUC